GACGUAGGAUGCGAGCGUUGUCCGGAUUCAUUGGGCGUAAAGAGCGCGCAGGCGGCUUGGUAAGUCGGAUGUGAAAACCCGAGGCUCAACCUCGGGCGUGCAUCCGAAACUGCUCGGCUAGAGGUAGGUAGGGGAGAUCGGAAUUCCUGGUGUAGCGGUGAAAUGCGCAGAUAUCAGGAGGAACACCGGUGGCGAAGGCGGAUCUCUGGGCCUUACCUGACGCUGAGGCGCGAAAGCUAGGGGAGCGAACAGG
rnacentral:rRNA from 1 species